CUACGGGGGGCAGCAGUGGGGAAUCUUGCGCAAUGGGCGAAAGCCUGACGCAGCCAUGCCGCGUGAAUGAUGAAGGUCUUAGGAUUGUAAAAUUCUUUCACCGGGGACGAUAAUGACGGUACCCGGAGAAGAAGCCCCGGCUAACUUCGUGCCAGCAGCCGCGGUAUACGAAGGGGGCUAGCGUUGCUCGGAAUUACUGGGCGUAAAGGGAGCGUAGGCGGACUGUUUAGUCGGAGGUGAAAGCCCAGGGCUCAACCUUGGAAUUGCCUUUGAUACUGGCAGGCUUGAGUACGGAAGAGGUAUGUGGAACUCCGAGUGUAGAGGUGAAAUUCGUAGAUAUUCGGAAGAACACCAGUGGCGAAGGCGACAUACUGGUCCGUUACUGACGCUGAGGCUCGAAAGCGUGGGGAGCAAACAGGAUUAGAUACCCGUGUAGUC
rnacentral:rRNA from 1 species